CCUACGGGUGGCAGCAGUGGGGGAUAUUGCACAAUGGGCGAAACCCUGAUGCAGCGAUGCCGCGUGAGUGAAGAAGUCUUUCGGUAUGUAAAGCUCUAUCAGCAGGGAAGAAAAUGCCAGUACCUGUACAAGAAGCCCCGGCUAACUACGUGCCAGCAGCCGCGGUAAUACGGAGGGGGCAAGCGUUAUCCGGAUUUACUGGGGGUAAAGGGAGCGUAGACGGUUAUGUAAGUCAGGAGUGAAAGCCCGGGGCCCAACCCCGGAACUGCGUUUGAAACUGUUUAACUGGAGUACAGGAGGGGCAGGCGGAAUUCCUGGUGUAGCGGUGAAAUGCGUAGAGAUCAGGAGGAACACCGGCGGCGAAGGCGGCCUGCUGGACUGAAACUGACGUUGAGGCUCGAAAGCGUGGGGAGCAAACAGGAUUAGAUACCCGAGUAGUC
rnacentral:rRNA from 1 species